CGUUCCAUGGCCAAUGCAGGACUAGAAACUGCAGGCAACGUUCGAGUUUCAAUGGUUCCAAUAGGAGCUCUUGGAUCGCCUUGGCAUCCAUUCAUCGACAAUGAACAACACUGACUAUAUCUCUAUUCAGUUAAAAGAGUUGAAGAAGUGAACAUAUUGCUUUUGAUAUAGAGGUGAAGAGGAAAGGGAGCAUUUCAUGAGUGAUGUUGAUUCAAGUUGUUCCAUGAACCUUAAGGUGCAGUGUCUUGCACCUACAGCCAUUUAAGAUGGGGGACUGGACUGGGAAUUGAUAUUGUUUUAUUUGGUUGUGUAACCAGUUGCAUAAAGAUUAUUAAACUUCAUAAACAAUAUACCAAUAAGCAAGUAGCCUUUAAUAUACACAAAAAUGUUUGUUUAUUAUUGGCCAUGGAUGAUGUAAGAAGAUGGGCCACCACUACACAUCUUAGCCGCUAUAAAGUUGAAUGCCAAGACCACAAAUAGAUGGCAAGAGUGGAAACUCUCUCGUCGUCUUGUGCCAA